GACGAACGCUGGCGGCGUGCUUAACACAUGCAAGUCGAACGAAGAGCGACGGAAGCUUGCUUCUAUCAAUCUUAGUGGCGAACGGGUGAGUAACGCGUAAUCAACCUGCCCUUCAGAGGGGGACAACAGUUGGAAACGACUGCUAAUACCGCAUACGAUCUAAUCUCGGCAUCGAGGAUGGAUGAAAGGUGGCCUCUACAUGUAAGCUAUCACUGAAGGAGGGGAUUGCGUCUGAUUAGCUAGUUGGAGGGGUAACGGCCCACCAAGGCGAUGAUCAGUAGCCGGUCUGAGAGGAUGAACGGCCACAUUGGGACUGAGACACGGCCCAGACUCCUACGGGAGGCAGCAGUGGGGAAUCUUCCGCAAUGGACGAAAGUCUGACGGAGCAACGCCGCGUGAGUGAUGACGGCCUUCGGGUUGUAAAGCUCUGUUAAUCGGGACGAAAGGCCUCCUUGCGAAUAGUGAGAAGGAUUGACGGUACCGGAAUAGAAAGCCACGGCUAACUACGUG
rnacentral:rRNA from 1 species